rnacentral:rRNA from 1 species
AUGAUUUUGUGGUGGUUGUUUACUAUGUUGUUUGCUCUUUUCCGGUGUUGCUUCUUCGGGUUGGUUCCGGUAACGUCGUGUUGUGAGGAUUCGUUCGUCUACGUCCGUUUGUCUUCUUCAUGGACUCGUUCUUCUUCCUUGCAGGAUUUCAGGCAAGAUGAUCAUACCCUCGAAAUCACUACUAUCUUUGCUAUGCUAGUUUGCUCGCUCUUCGCUAUGCCAAUGCUACGAUGCCUACCUUUUGCUUGUCAGCCUCCCAAUUGCCAUGUUCAGCCUCUAACCCACCAAUGUCCUAGCAAACUGUUGAUUGGCUAUGUUACCGCUUUGCUCAGCCCCUCUUAUAGCGUUGGUAGUUGCAGGUGA